rnacentral:lncRNA from 1 species
AUGGGGGCACAGAGACCCCCGGGAUGGGGGCACAGAGACCCCCGGGAUGGGGGCACAGAGACCCCCGGGAUGGGGCGGACAGACUCUGGCUGCGGGGUGGGGAUGGGACGGGGGGACCCUCGGGGUGGGGAACGGAAGGACCCCGGGAUUGGGAUGGGGAUGGGGGGCCCUGGCUGCGGGACAGGUUUGGGGUCAGGGAGGGGCACCCCCGUUCCUGCUGCCUCCAGCAAUGGGGUCCCUGGGGUGUCCCUGGGGGCUGUUGUCCCCCCCAGCACCGGGGCAGGAUGUGGGGACAGGAGGUGCCCCCAAAUUGGGAGGUUUUGGUGCCCCCAGAGACGCUGGAUGCAACAGGGCGCACCCCCAGACCCGCUAGGAGCCCCCCCGGAGCGAGUGGGGGAACAGUGGGUGCCGCGGGGAGGGUCGGGGGGUCCUGCCCCGCUGCUCCCGGUGCUCCCGGUGCUCCCGGUGCUCCCGGUGCUCCCGGUGCUCCCGGGUUUUGGCAAUACACGGCUGUGCCCACGUCCCACUCUCCAGUGUGGAUUUAAUGGGGUGGCGACACUGGGGGGUCCCUGUGGGGGCAUCGAGGACCCCUUGGGGGGUGCCACUGUUGGGGUGACAGUGCCCGGCGUGGGGGGACCCCUGGGAGCGGGGCGGAGGGGGGUGUCACUGGUCACUGUGGGGGUGCCGGUGGCCCCCAUGGAGGGGUCACUGGUCACUGUGGGGGUGCCGGUGGCCCCCAUGAAGGGGUCAGUGGUCAUUGUGGGGCUGCCGGUGGCCCCCAUGGAGGGGUCACUGGUCACUGUGGGGGUGCCGGUGGCCACCAGGGGAGGGGUCACAGGUCACUGUGGGGGUGCCGGUGGCCCCCGGCGGGGCUCAGCCGGGCACGGGCGGUGGGAGGGGAGGGGAGGGGAAGGGGCGGAACCGGGACCCCCCCGGCCGGUCCCUCGGCGCUGGCGCGGGGCCCGGCGGGGCCCGAAUAGGGGCGGCGGGCGACAGGUGACGGUGGCGGGGCCAGGACGGGACCUUGGAGCGCGGCGGGGGCGGGCGCGGAGCCACCGACAGCUGUCCGUGACGUCACGGCCCCGUGACGUCAGCGGUAACCACGGCGACGGGUGGGCGGGGCCUGCAGUGUGGGCGUGGCCGGGAUUUCCCCGCCUCCGCCGCCAGGGGGCGCUGCCGACACGCCGCGCGGUGCGGCCGUAUGCAAAUGAACGC